GGUUGGUCCCAGUGCAGUGGUGUUUACAACUAAUUGAUCACAACCAGUUACAGAUUCCUUUGUUCCUUCUCCAUUCCCACUGCUUCACUUGACAAGCCUUAA
rnacentral:Y_RNA from 1 species